rnacentral:rRNA from 1 species
GACAAACCAGAAAAGAAAUGG